UUUUAACCCCAGGUGGGCCCUUAAGGCCUAUACAGAGUCAACUGUUCUAUGGCAGAAUUUUCUUUACCAGUCCUACAGUCCCUACCGAUUUUGCAAGUGCGAAGGGAGAUAUUUUAAAAGCGAAGGGAGAUAUUGAAGAAAAAGUUGGAUUCAACAAAGUGUAUAGAAUGUAGUUUUGAUGGAAAUAGAAUCUUGCCAUUGGAUUUGUGGGAUGAGAACCUUUUUGUACAGCUUGAUGCACAUAUUGAAUGCAUUCUGAUUAAGUUAGAAAUUGCAAGCCAUGCUCCACUUCGAAGCAGUGACUUUGUGGUGAUGAAGUAGUGAAUUAACUGUGUCAGCGUGACCAUGUUUGUGGUUGCAUUAAAUAGACAGAAGCUAGUGGGGCUGAAUCAGCGGAUGCAAGUUAGGAAUUCUUUACCUCAAUUUAAUGUAGAGAAUUACCUUGUCCGAGUAAAAUACCAAGAGUGGUGGCGGUCUGGAAACCAUAUGAGAUUAUAUUGAAGAGGUUUUACUGUUCGGGCAGAAAACAAAUUUAUGGGUUCUGAAAGCACUUGCUGUUAGGUGAGUACAACAUGGAAAGUUAGUUGAUGGUUGUUAAAUGUAUUAUGCUGUAUUAAUUAAGUCCUGGAUUUAUGGUUGCGUCAAUUGGGGUUGUCUCCAUAGACUAGAUGCUUCAUGAGCCAAUGUCUCAGAUUCUCUGCGUAUCCCGAAAUUAUCAGUUUCAGAAAAAUACGCGUAUAUAAUUUUUCUAUCUAUAAGAUUAUAGAUAUUUGAGAAA